AGAGAACCCGUGGUAGGAGGUUCAUUUUGAUAAUCCCCACCCUGCCGAACCAUAAGAGGUGUGGCAACGACCAUUUCUCUAGGUCCUCUUUCAGUCUUAUCAGGAGUGGUUGUAAGUUGGCCUGAUAGAGUUGGGCACAUUCCCUUGUGAUCCAGAUCCCCUAGGUAUUUCAAGGCAAAGAGGUGUUGAGUGUGUGUGAUCUGUUCUUUUGGGAAAGUCACAUUAAGUAGUUUUUGAGUAAUUAAUUUAGAAAUUUGAUAGAAAGCCAUAUGUGUCAAAUUCUGUUAUAAUGUGUCUAAGUGAGUGAUCAGG